AUUGAACGCUGGCGGCAGGCCUAACACAUGCAAGUCGAGCGGAUGACCGGAGCUUGCUCCUGAAUUCAGCGGCGGACGGGUGAGUAAUGCCUAGGAAUCUGCCUGGUAGUGGGGGACAACGUUUCGAAAGGAACGCUAAUACCGCAUACGUCCUACGGGAGAAAGCAGGGGACCUUCGGGCCUUGCGCUAAUAGAUGAGCCUAAGUCGGAUUAGCUAGUCGGUGGGGUAAAGGCCUACCAAGGCGACGAUCUGUAGCGGGUCUGAGAGGAUGAUCCGCCACACUGGGACUGAGACACGGCCCAGACUCCUACGGGAGGCAGCAGUGGGGAAUAUUGGACAAUGGGGGGAACCCUGAUCCAGCCAUGCCGCGUGUGUGAAGAAGGCCAUUUGGUUGUAAAGCACUUUAAGCGAGGAGGAGGCUACCGAGAUUAAUACUCUUGGAUAGUGGACGUUACUCGCAGAAUAAGCACCGGCUAACUCUGUGCCAGCAGCCGCGGUAAUACAGAGGGUGCAAGCGUUUAUCGGAUUUACUGGGCGUAAAGCGCGCGUAGGUGGCCAAUUAAGUCAAAUGUGAAAUCCCCGAGCUUAACUUGGGAAUUGCAUUCGAUACUGGUUGGCUAGAGUAUGGGAGAGGAUGGUAGAAUUCCAGGU
rnacentral:rRNA from 1 species